CCUACGGGCGUCUGCAGUGGGGAAUAUUGGGCAAUGGGCGCAAGCCUGACCCAGCAACGCCGCGUGAAGGAAGAAGGCGUUCGGGUUGUAAACUUCUUUUCUCAGGGACGAAGAAAGUGACGGUACCUGAGGAAUAAGCCACGUGUAACUACGUGCCCGCAGGCACGGUAAACCAGAGGUGGCAAUCGUUAUACGGAUUUAUUGGGUGUAAAGGUCGUGUAGGCGGGAGCGCAAGUCAGAUGUGAAAAGUCAGGGCUCAACCCUGAGCCAGCAUUUGAAACUGUGUUUCUUGAGUGCUGGAGAGGCAAGCGGAAUUCGGUGUGUAGCGGUGAAAUGCGUAGAUAUAGGGAGGAACACCAGUGGCGAAGGCGGAUUGCUGG
rnacentral:rRNA from 1 species